CCUACGGGUGGCAGCAGUGAGGAAUAUUGGUCAAUGGACGCAAGUCUGAACCAGCCAUGCCGCGUGCAGGAAGACGGCUCUAUGAGUUGUAAACUGCGUUUGUACGAGGGUAAAUCCCGAUACGUGUAUCGUGUUGCACGUAUCGUACGAAUAAGGAUCGGCUAACUCCGUGCCAGCAGCCGCGGUAAUACGGAGGAUUCAGGCGUUAUCCGGAUUUAUUUGGUUUAAAGGGUGCGUAGGCGGUUCGGUAAGUUAAGGGUGAAAUCCCGGGGCUCAACUCCGGCACUGCCUCUGAUACGGUCGGGCUAGAGUUUAGUUGCGGUAGGCGGAAUGUAUGGUGUAGCGGUGAAAUGCAUAGAGAUCAUACAGAACACCGAUUGCGAAGGCAGCUUACCAAACUACGACUGACGUUGAGGCACGAAAGCGUGGGGAGCAAACAGGAUUAGAUACCCCGGUAGUC
rnacentral:rRNA from 1 species